AACCUCCGCAAUUUACAUAAAUUUGCGGCAAUAUAUUAGCCCCCACAAAAUUAUACAAUUUAUGGGAGUCUAAAACCAUUCGCAACCCUAAAAUAAUAGCGGGUAAUUUAUUUCAGACUCCCUCCAAUCUUUUUCACCUAGAAACUUCCGCCCCUCCAACAACAAAAUACACUGUCUUCUUCUUCUUUGAACUUCUCUUUUCCUCACAGAGAAAGAAAUCUUGUGUCCUUGUCCUACGCUACAUUUGGAAACUGUCUUCUCAAUUUUCUCCUUAUUGAGUGUGAGGCAAAAUACACCCGUUCAUUAUUUCUUCUUUGAUUGAGUCCACUACAAAUCUUUGCCAAUAAUCUCCUUCUUCCAGGUUCAUCAGCGGCACUUGAAAGUUAAUACUUUUCUAUGGAUAAAUCUUGGAUUAGAAAGCCAAGGAACACCAAAAAAUAUUUAUUUGGUUUAAAUCAGUUUUUAGAUUUUGCAUUUGCUAAUGCUGUUGUUGGAGAUAGAAUAAAGUGUCCUUGUCCUAAAUGUGGAUUCGCAAAGUGGCAAACUAGAGAGGUAGCGCUCGAACAUUUGAUUUGCAAACCAUUCCCUCAAAAUUAUGUCACUUGGACUAUUCAUGGUGAAAGAAAUAUACUGCCUAAUUCUAUAAAUAAUGUGGUUAUACAAGAUACAUUACCUCCUAAAAAUCCAGUAGAAUUAUUGAUUAAUGAAGCAUUUGGGGGCCUAAGGCACGAUGGGGUUGAUGUAGGUCCGUCACAAGUAGCGGGUGGUGAAGAAAGGUUAAAUGAUGAGCCUGCUUCAAAUGAUAAAGACUUUUUCGAGUUUCUUAGAGAUGGAAGUCAAGAAUUGUUUGAAGGGUCCAAGUACUCAAAACUAGAAUUUUUAUUAAAAUUGUAUCACAUAAAAUGUUUGUCUGGGCUAAGUGACAAGGGAAUGGCCAUGAUACUAGAUUUGUUGAGGGAUGCAUUUACAUUUGCACGGAUCCCUCAUUCUUUUUAUGAGGCCAAGAAAACUAUCAGCAAGCUUUGUCUUGAUUAUAUCAAGAUAGAUGCUUGUCCAAAUGAUUGUAUGUUAUUUUGGGGGAAUGAUGCUAAUGAGGAAACAUGUAAGUAUUGUCACACUUCUAGGUGGAAGCCUAAUAAGAAAAGAAAUGAAGAUCUUGUGUCUACUACAGGUAAUAAGAAAACAAGAAGAAAACUAAGAAGCCUGCAAAUAUUUUGCGUUACUUUCCAUUAAAACUAAGGUUGCAGAGAUUGUUCAUGUGCUCUAAAAUAGCAAAAUAUAUGAGAUGGCAUGCUGAGGAUAGUAACGAAGAUGGAAUCAUGAGGCAUCCUAGAGAUGGUGAGGCAUGGAAGAGGUUUACAACUUUUCCUGGAUUUGCCAUUGAUCCCGUGUUCGGCUUGGCCUAGCUAGUGAUGGCUUCAAUCCUUUUGGAACGAUGAGUACUAAUUAUAGCAUUUGGCCAGUCAUUUUAGUUCCAUACAACCUUCCUCCUUGGUUGUGUAUGAAACCAUCCAAUUUUAUUCUCUCAAUGAUCAUUCCUGGUCCACGUACGACGAGAAAUAACAUAGAUGUUUACCUACAACCCCUUAUUAAGGAGUUGAAUGAGUUGUGGAGUGAAUGUGUCGAAACUUUUGAUUCAUCAAAGAAAGAGAUGUUUAGAUUGCGAGCUACUCUUAUGUGUACAAUUAGUGACUUUCCUGGACUUGAUAUCUUAUCUGGUUGGAACUCACAUACUGGUUUAGCAUGUCCCACUUGUAAUUUUGAUGCAGAACCUUGUCGACUUCGCCAAAGUAGAAAGUGGUGCUUUAUUGGUCAUCGUAGAUUUUUAGCAAGAAAUCAUAAAUUUAGACUGAUGAGGCAUCACUUUGAUGGAAAUGUGGAGGAAAGAAACCCACCGAGAAAGUUAUCCGGAUCUGAUAUUUUGCAACAAGUGAAAGAUAUUGAUGUUACAUUUGGAAAACCGACUGAGUUGAAUGAGAGAAGAAAAAGAUCUAGACAAAGAAAUAUUGGGCAAGGUGCAACACAACAAUGGAGGAAAAAAAGCAUAUUCUUUAAUCUUCCAUAUUGGGAGUUCAACUCGUUGCGCCACAAUUUAGACGUCAUGCACAUCGAAAAGAAUGUGUUUGACAAUAUUAUAUAUUCUUUGCUUAAUGAUAAAGACAAGUCAAAAGAUAAUAUUAAGGCGCGAAAAGAUUUGCAAGAUAUGGGUAUAAGGCGUGAUCUUUGGCCCGACGAGAAUGAUGAGUGUAGGCUUGCUGUAUUUACCAUUCCAAAGGAAAAGAAAGUGGCUUUCCUCAUAACUUUAAAGAAUAUUUCAGUGCCGGAUAGUUACUCGAGUAAUAUUUCUGAUUGCAUUGAUCCGGACCAAAGGAGAAUCUUUGGAUUAAAGAGUCAUGAUUGUCACAUUAUUAUGGAGCAAUUGCUACCAAUAGCAAUUCGCAAUGUGCUGCCAAAGGAGGUUGUUGCAGUCUUAGUAGAGCUUUCCUUUUUUUUCAGAGAACUUGUCUUAAAAGUUUGAGUUUGGCAGAUUUAGAAAAGUUACAAGAUCGAAUUGUGCUCACACUUUGCAACUUGGAUAUAUUAUUCCCACCAUCAUUUUUUACUGUAAUGGUCCAUUUAACUGUCCAUCAAGUAGAUGAAGCAAUACAAGGUGGUCCGGUACAUUAUAGGUGGAUGUAUUUUGUUGAAAGAUUGUUAGGUCAUUUUAAGUCCCUAGUAGGGAAUAAGGCACAACCAGAAGGUUCCAUAGCUGAAGGUUACAUUGUUGAAGAAGCUCUAACUUUUUGUUCUCGUUACUUUGAGGGGAUUGAGUCAAGGCUGAAUAGGCCUAGACGUGUGAAUGAUGAACCAAAUCUUAAUGAGGCUUCUGAAAUAUCAUCUAUCUUCCCUCCACAAGGUAAACCAGUUGGAGGCUCCUCAACGUUCCCAUUAACUUCAUUAGUGAAGACGCAAGCUCAUCGAUAUGUGUUAUUUAAUUGUGCGGCAGUGAAGCCAUUUAUUGAUGAGUUUAGGGAUUACAUAAGAAAGAACACAAGAGGACGGAAACCUUCAGCAUCAGAUUUGGAGAGGAGGGUUAAUAAGGAGUUUCCUGAUUGGUUCCCAAAACGGAUUAUGAACCCAGAAAUUGUAGACACCAUCUCUACUGAACUGAAGUUCCUAGCACGAGGUCCAGCGCCAGAUGCUAGAAGGUUCACUGCUUAUAACAUCAAUGGAUUCAAAUUUCGAGUUUUGUCUAGAGAUCAAGGAUUAAAAACUCAAAAUAGUGGAGUUUUUCUUACUUCUGACACCUCUUGUGUUGCAUCUAGUGCUGAUAGAAGUGCAAGGCACGCAGACUUGCCAUACUAUGGGAAGUUAGAAGAUAUUAUUGAGCUUAAUUAUUAUCGAUUCACAGUUGUGCUCUUCAAAUGCCAGUGGGCAGACACUACUCGAGAUAGAGGGUUCAAAAGAGAUGCUUGGAAUUUUAAUUGUGUCAAUUUUUCUAGAUUGAUUCAUAUUGGUGAUCGUGAGGAUGAUGAUCCUUACAUUGAAGCAUCUCAAGCAAAUAUGGUUUAUUAUGUUGAUGAUGAAACAGAUAAAGAAUGGAGUGUGGCUGUACAUCUAAAGCCGAGAGAUUUAUUUGAUAUGGGAGAGGUUGAUGAAAAUGAAAUAUGUGAGAAUCAACCAUACCAGCAACAAGAACUUGAACAAUUUUUUAAUGAUGCUUAUGAGAAUAUCCAAAUUGCAAUAGAUGAGCAUAUGUCUGAAUAGAUAUGCCGAAGACCAAACGUUUCCAGAAUUUACAAAAGUCAGUUCAAUCAGCAUCUUCUUCACAAUCUACUGAUGCGGCACCAGAUAUGAUAUCACUAUUUCAGGCCACAACACAGCCAAGGCAGCAAGCUCUUUCAUUUCAAGCCAUGGGGCAGACAACUCCUUGCAUUCAUCCGACUCCUUUAUUUCAGGCGACAUCACUACCAGCUCCUUCAUUUCAAGCCACAAGACAGCAAACCGCUUCAUUUCAGGUCACAACACUGCCAACUCCUUCAUUUCAGGCCAUGGGACAGACAACUCCUUCAUUCUAGGCCACGGGACAAACAACUCCUUCAUUUCAACGUCCAAUUAAUUCCACACCAGCACAAGCAACAUCCAAUAAGCAUGCUAAACGUGAGUCUUCACAUCAUUGGACUGUCGAUGAAAUAGAUUCACAUGGAGAUACUAAAAGGCUCAAAUUGAAGACUAGAGAAGCAUUAAGUUUACCUCAGGGAGAACGUGUUGUGGUGGAGUUUGAUUGCUUGGAUCCGAUUGGCGAAGCACAAGGCCUUCUUGCAGGCGUAUGUGGCCUUUUAGCAACUGACUGUACCAUAUUUCCAAUUAGCUUUGAUAAAUGGUCGGAUAUGCCUAAGUCAUACUUUAACGACUGCUUUAAUAAAAUUAUAAAGUUGCACGAGAAUAUGUUUAUCGCUCUAUUGCAAAGAAGUGGGCUACAAGUAGGCAGAAGUUGUUGGAUGAGUUUAAAGACCCACUUAAAAC